rnacentral:rRNA from 1 species
GACGAACGCUGGCGGCGUGCUUAACACAUGCAAGUCGAACGGAAAGGCCCUGCUUUUGUGGGGUGCUCGAGUGGCGAACGGGUGAGUAACACGUGAGUAACCUGCCCUUGACUUUGGGAUAACUUCAGGAAACUGGGCUAAUACCGGAUAGGAGCUCCUGCUGCAUGGUGGGGGUUGGAAAGUUUCGGCGGUUGGGGAUGGACUCGCGGCUUAUCAGCUUGUUGGUGGGGUAGUGGCUUACCAAGGCUUUGACGGGUAGCCGGCCUGAGAGGGUGACCGGCCACAUUGGGACUGGGAUGCGGCCAGGAGUCCUACGGGAGGCAGCGGUGGAGAAUAUUGCACAAUGGGCGGAGGCCGGAUGGAGCAACGCCGCGUGCGGAAUGACGGCCUUCGGGUUGGAAACCGCUUUCGCGUGUGACGAAGCGUGAGGAACGGUAAUGGGUAAAGAGGCACCGGCUAACUACGU